UUUUGGUUCGCAUUAGCGAUAGGAAUGGCAUCCUUUUAUCCUGCAAAGGAUAAAAGAUAGAAUGCAUAGCGCGACCUCGU
rnacentral:sRNA from 1 species